GACCAUCAAUGGCCGUUAGGUGUAUCGGUGAACCACGAGUCACCGAGGUGCCGAAGGGAAACCGUGAAACGUGCCGCCUGGGAAGUACGGUCGCAAGGCUGAAACUUAAAGGAAUUGGCGGGGGGAGCACCACAACAGGUGGAGCCUGCGGUUUAAUCGGACUCAACGCCGGGAAUCUCACCGGAUAAGACAGCUGAAUGAUAGUCGGGCUGAAGACUCUACUUGACUAGCUGAGAGGAGGUGCAUG
rnacentral:rRNA from 1 species